UACGUAGGUGGCAAGCGUUGUCCGGAAUUACUGGGCGUAAAGGGUGCGCAGGCGGUAGUUUAAGUCGGAUGUGAAAUCUGGAGGCUUAACCUCCAGUUUGCAUUUGAUACUGGAUUACUUGAGUGCAGGAGAGGGCAGUGGAAUUCCUAGUGUAGCGGUGAAAUGCGUAGAUAUUAGGAGGAACACCAGUGGCGAAGGCGGCUGCCUGGACUGUAACUGACGCUGAGGCACGAAAGCGUGGGGAGCGAAC
rnacentral:rRNA from 1 species